AGCGGCAUGGCGGAAUUGGCAGACGCGCCUUGCUAAAACAAGGUGGCAGAGGGUUGAGAUUCUGGAUGAUAAAGCCCUCGUAAGACCAUGCGGGUUCGAAUCCCGCUGCCGCAA
rnacentral:tRNA from 1 species